rnacentral:rRNA from 1 species
CCUACGGGAGGCAGCAGUGAGGAAUAUUGGUCAAUGGACGAGAGUCUGAACCAGCCAAGUAGCGUGAAGGAUGACUGCCCUCUGGGUUGUAAACUUCUUUUAUAAAGGAAUAAAACGAGGCACGUGUGCCUUUUUGCAUGUACUUCAUGAAUAAGGAUCGGCUAACUCCGGGCCAGCAGCCGCGGUAAUACGGAGGGUCCGAGCGUUAUCCGGAUUUAUUGGGUUUAAAGGGAGCGUAGAUGGGUUGUUAAGUCAGUUGUGAAAGUUUGCGGCUCAACCGUAAAAGUGCAAUUGAUACUGGCAGUCUGGAGUACAGUUGAGGUAGGCGGAAUUCGUGGUGUAGCGGUGAAAUGCUUAGAUAUCACGAAGAACCCCGAUUGCGAAGGCAGCUUACUAAACUGUGACUGACAUUGAUGCUCGAAAGUGUGGGUAUCAAACAGGAUUAGAUACCCCUGUAGUC